UACGUAGGUAGCAAGCGUUGUCCGGAUUUACUGGGCGUAAAGAGCGCGCAGGCGGUCGUUCAAGUCGCGUGUGAAAGCCCCCGGCUCAACUGGGGAGGGUCACGCGAUACUGAUCGACUCGAAGGCAGGAGAGGGAAGUGGAAUUCCCGGUGUAGUGGUGAAAUGCGUAGAUAUCGGGAGGAACACCAGUGGCGAAGGCGACUUCCUGGCCUGUUCUUGACGCUGAGGCGCGAAAGCUAGGGGAGCAAACGGG
rnacentral:rRNA from 1 species